AAACCUCCCGCACUAAAAUGACCGGUGUUUCAGUUUCAUUGUCCAACCCCUGUUUAUAUAUGAUGAAGCUUGAUUAUUAUUAUAUAAGUUGUAAGAAGAAGAAUUUUUAAAUUUGACGUAUUUUGUAUAAUAACCAAUAUUUUGUAUAUAUAACCCCAUAUAUAUUCACACAAUUGCAGUGUUUUUUUUAUUUUUUAUUUAAACCACAGCUGGCGUUGUUAGCAGAAGGAAUGCAGCACAAGCAUUCGACUUAAUGAGCAGUAUGAUGGUGGGAGCCAGGAGAGCAUAGGUGAGAGCGACUCAGCAAGCAAUUCUCUCGGAUGCUUUAAAUCGUUAGCAACAGAGGAGACCUCCAGCUUCUCAGAGACAAGGUUUCAAAGCCUUGUUUCCAACAGCUCCAUCUCAGGCACCUUAGGGGAGGCCUGUUCAGUCCAGGACCAGCCCCUCUCCUUUGACCAGACACGGCUGGCGGUGGCUACAGCUGCAUUACGAGGACCAGCUCUGCCUCAGAGUUCCUCUCAAACACACAGACUUGCAAGGAUGCUUCUGGUUUUCCAAACCUUAAUAUGUUUCACUCACAACAAAUGGUUGCAUUUAAAAGCUGGAACCCUGAGAAAAAUGAGGGAACCACAACAGGUUGUGUAGUUAAAACAGAACAACGUGUUGAUCAAGACAACAAAUCAAGAAGUGAAGCAGGAUCUGACUCAAGAAAACCAGAGGAGAAGAGUGGACAUAUCCUGGGACUUGAUUGUUACUCUUCUUCCGAUGACGACACCAACACAUAGUCAUUUUUCAUACUGUUAUAUGAUGAUCGUUUUUGCUGUGUUAUUGAAUUGCCUGAAAAACCAAGUGGUGUUCAAAAAUAUUUGACCUAAAUUAAAACAUUAUUUUUCAUAAUGAUGGUCAAAUUUCUUAAAAGUCCACAUUUGUUACAAAAACAUAGUGUAGGCAAAAAGAAUUAACGUUAGUUACUUACUGCUAGCUCCAUUACGGUGGUAUGCUGGCCUGAGUUAUGCAGGGUCCGCACUGUGCAAUGCUCCGCUUUACUGUGGUACGAAUUAACGCAGAAUAUAUCCCUCAGCAGACAGCACCACUCAGCCACUACAUAGUAAAGCAACGACAUGACCCCACCAUUACUCUCAAAAUGUUUAAGCCUAAACAGUGCACCCAGACUGAAGCUGACAAUUAGAGCAGAAACUAGACAGAAUUAUUGGCAAUCUACCCAGCUGUCUGUAGUUGAUCAAAGAAAAUAUGAUCCAAAAUCCCCAGAGUCAGAUAUAUUGAACACAACUGUGGCUGAUCCUUUAUUUGUUCCUCAGUACGAAAAUGUCAUUGUUAAAGGCAAAUGGAAGCUCACAGAGCACUAAAAUAAGUAAAAAUAAAAUAUUGCACAAUCAAAGGUACACAUUUCCAGGAAGGAUGUUACCACUUCUACUAAGAGUUAUCUUUACUGCUUUGUAGUACAGGUGAGUGACACUUUUAAAUAAAUAUUUUUUUGAAUUUGUGCUGAAAUGCCUUCUACAUUUUAGUUUUUGAAGCAGUAAAAUAGUCAUGCUGUGAUUGGUAUUUUUAACAGUUUUAUUAGAAGGUACCUUGUGGUUUCAAAAAAUGUCUGAAUUUUAGUUUCAUAACAACAUUAAAAUGAUGGUUUUCAAUGUUUUUGCAAAAGACAA